GAUGAACGCUGGCGGCGUGCCUAAUACAUGCAAGUCGAGCGAACAGACGAGGAGCUUGCUCCUCUGAUGUUAGCGGCGGACGGGCGAGUAACACGUGGAUAACCUACCUAUAAGACUGGGAUAACUUCGGGAAACCGGAGCUAAUACCGGAUAACAUGUUGAACCGCAUGGUUCAACAGUGAAAGGCGGUCUUGCUGUCACUUAUAGAUGGAUCCGCGCCGCAUUAGCUAGUUGGUAAGGUAACGGCUUACCAAGGCAACGAUGCAUAGCCGACCUGAGAGGGUGAUCGGCCACACUGGAACUGAGACACGGUCCAGACUCCUACGGGAGGCAGCAGUAGGGAAUCUUCCGCAAUGGGCGAAAGCCUGACGGAGCAACGCCGCGUGAGUGAAGAAGGUCUUCGGAUCGUAAAACUCUGUUAUUAGGGAAGAACAAAUGUGUAAGUAACUAUGCACGUCUUGACGGUACCUAAUCAGAAAGCCACGGCUAACUACGUG
rnacentral:rRNA from 1 species